rnacentral:rRNA from 1 species
AUGGCUCAGGAUGAACGCUAGCGACAGGCUUAACACAUGCAAGUCGAGGGGCAGCAUAGAAGUAGCAAUACUUGGUGGCGACCGGCGCACGGGUGAGUAACGCGUAUGCAACCUACCUAUCAGAGGGGAAUAACCCGGCGAAAGUCGGACUAAUACCGCAUAAAACAGGGGCACCGCAUGGUGAUAUUUGUUAAAGAAAUUCGCUGAUAGAUGGGCAUGCGUUCCAUUAGGUAGUUGGUGAGGUAACGGCUCACCAAGCCGACGAUGGAUAGGGGAACUGAGAGGUUGGUCCCCCACACUGGUACUGAGACACGGACCAGACUCCUACGGGAGGCAGCAGUGAGGAAUAUUGGUCAAUGGGCGGGAGCCUGAACCAGCCAAGUCGCGUGAAGGAAAGAAGGAUCUAUGGUUCGUAAACUUCUUUUGCAGGGGAAUAAAGUGCAGGACGUGUCCUGUUUUGUAUGUACCCUGAGAAUAAGGAUCGGCUAACUCCGUGCCAGCAGCUGC